rnacentral:rRNA from 1 species
AAAGUACUCUGAAGAGAGAGUAAACAGUACGUGAAACCGCGUGCAGGUAAACGGGUGGCGUCAAGCUGCAAGCCCAGAGGAUUCAGCUGGCCAGAUUGUAGUGCACGUACGCGCCUGGUGCGUAGUUGCGUGAAUUGGCCGGAGUAAGAUGCGGUGGCCCGCUUCUUUAUGCAAGAGCGGAGCAUGGUUGUAAUGGCGGACUGUGACUCCAAUCAAUCGGCCGACCGAUUCAUUCAUUCAUUCAUUUGGGUGAGUGAGUAGGUGGGUUGGUGGUGAGGAGUUGGGUCUAGCGUUACUGCCGUUGUUAUGCGUGCCGGGUGGGUGCCGGAGCAUGUCACUCGUCUGUGGGCCUUCUGGCUAGUGCAUUUUCUCUGUGGUGAACACCACGACCGGUGGAAUUGUCAGUCUGCUGCGGUCAAGUCGUGUCUUCUUGGCAAUCCGUUGGUUAGCCGAAUGGCUAAUCGAUGGGCCAGGUGGAUGCGAUCGCAGGCAGUGUAAGCAGACGGCGUAGUGGUGCCUCGGUGCCGCUGCGUGCUAACGUGUGCUCACUGUCAACGAGCUGCUACUUUGGGUUGUGCUGUGACUGCACUGUCUAGUGGCUGGGCGGACCGUGGUGGUGAAAAUGACUGUACAAGGCACCGAGUUUAUCCACCUCAUCCGUUCGUGCCUCCGUCUGUCUGGUCGGUCAAUUGGUCGGCUGGUCAGUUGGUUGCUCGGUCGGUAAUGGUAUUCGGCGCGCACGUCACAGGUGCGAUGGGUCGGGGCGCGUGACUGUUCAUGGACGUUGGGCUUGGCUGUCGUGUUGCCCGCAAAAAGUGGGUCCGACGGUAGUCUAAUGUUGUAGCGCGAGCUGAAUGGACAGUUUUGCGUUGUCUCGAGUGCAUGUAAUACCGAGGGUGCGAUAGUCAGUGGUGCUGUGGUAGACCAGCCAUCCGACCCGUCUUGAAACACGGACCAAGGAGUUUAACAUGUGUGCAAGUCAAAGGGUCCUACGAAACCCCUAGGCGUAGUGAAAGUGAAGUUUACGUUGUGCCUAUGCAUGCAUGCCUUGGUAUACACACGAGGUACAGCGUGACGAGGUGAGAUCCCGUUGUUGUGUGGUUUGCUACUCCUUGCUGCACUCAGUGUGGUAAGGAGAAGAGCAAUGGGCGCAUCACCGGCCCGUCUCAUGGUGUGGUCAUUGGCAUCGGUAUUNUUGUGUGCGURUGUCCCCGCCCUAGCAUUGCGGUGCGUGGUGCGUGGCAUGCGUGCGUGGCUUUGCCAGNUAAUGCGUCAUCGAGGCGGAGCAUGAGCACACAUGUUGAGACCCGAAAGAUGGUGAACUAUGCUUGCGUA